UACGUAAAGAGCAAUCAGUUAAAAGCAGUUGAAUAUAGAAUAGAUGUAAAUAAACAGGAAAGUGUAAAAAAAUAGCAAAUCCAGUAAAAGAAACAAAGGUCAACACAAGAAUAAUUUCACAGCUCUUUGUUAAUUACAAGACCAUUUGUAUGUUACUUAAAUAAUCAUUAAUUUCUCAUUUACACUUUCCCUACCUUCCUUCCUACCCUGUGGCUAUCAUUGUCCUUUUUUCACCUCCCCUCCCUCUUUGCUUUCAUGUUUCUCACCAUUGUGAAAUGUGUGUGGCUUGAAAUUUGGCAUCUUUACCUAAAUGGUGUGGAAGAGGGGAUAGCCAGUCUUUCAAACUAGAUGAGGCUUUAUAUCACUAUGCUCAUCUUUAUACUGCUACUCCAGGGGGUUGGUGACAGGGUUGUGCAAUAGAAAGAAAGAAAAGGCAUUGUUGUGACUUUUGGUGACUUGUUUUUCCUCCUUCCCAGGAUUCGCCCAUCCUUCCGGUUGGAGAGUUCUCCGAGCCAUUUGUACAUUUCAUCACUCAGUGCAUGCGAAAACAACCUAAAGAAAGGCCAGCACCUGAGGAAUUGAUGGGCCACCCAUUCAUCGUGAAGUUCAACGACAGAAAUGCUGCUGUGGUGUCCAUGUGGGUGUGUCGGGCACUGGAGGAGAGGCGAAGCCAGCAAGGGCCCCCGUGAGGCCUCAAUGGGGCACUGACAGUCCAGGACCAGUCAUCAAUGGGACGGCCCACCUAAGGCUCCUUUUGCUGCUUGCAUCAGAAGAACUUUGCUGGGCCCAGAUUCCUGCUCUUGCCUUCCACUCUGCCAGAGAUGGCCUUGCCUGGGAUGCUGUCAAAGGCAAGCCCUCAUCCCCUGGUCUGGAGGCACUGACUCUGGCAAUGUGGGGACAGGGGCAGGGCGGUGAGAAUGGAGACUCCUGUGACCCCACAUCCCUUCUAUUUACCUAUCACUCUUUGUAAAGGGCCAGACCCUUUCUGCAGCACUGAUGGGAAUAAAAGUAUUACUGCUUUGGGACUGUCUUCCCCCACCAGAGUUGUAAUCCUCAGUGAGUCUAUGACCUGCCCCCCGCCCCCGCCGCCAUUUUAACUGACCUUCACUCCUUUCACCACCCCCAGUCCUCCUUUUACUGCA